CAGGGAAAAGGACGGAAACGGCGAAGUUGAGGUAGACGAAGGACUGAAGCAACUGGAAUGUGGGCGGGGUUGUCGCCUAGCAGUUUUUUUCCAACCAAUCACUUGGGCUUCAAAUCCCGAAGAUUGCGCGUAACAAUGUAAAACAGUUCAUCGGCCUGAGGAGGUCGCGCUUGACUAUUGUUUUAGCUUUGCCGCUGCAUGGAAUUGUUACUGCGAUAAUCGUGCGGCCUGCUAAGAAUCAGAAAUAAGAAUACAUCGUUAUAUUGGCUGGGAGGUGCAGUGCCCUAGUGUCCAAAGUGGUUUCCAGUUAUCCUAAUCUCUGGAAUGUGUUGAAGAAGACGUGGAGUAUCUGGCCUGGGGUAACGGCACACCAACAUGGAGAGAACAUACAAAUUCCAGAAUGACCAGGAUAGCAUUCAAACCGAGGUCCUUGGAGCAAGUAGAUUUACCCCAAGGCAAGACCUGAAGAUCUCAAUGAGCACUGCAGCAAGUUCAUAAUGAAGUUCUCAUCACACCCGUUUUUUCAUCAAAGUGUCCACAAAAGAUAUGUUUUUAGGUUAUGUGUUUUGUGGCAGGACCACCUGACUUUUCAGCAGGAUGAGGAUAGCCCAAAGUCCCUUGCGGUUCAUUGAAUGUACGAGGAGGUUGGUGAGUUCUCCUGUGUUUAGUUUUCAUCUAUUUUUAUUUUCUGAUUUUGUACAUUUUUGUGACA